GCCGACGUUAAAUUUACAUAGGCAAUUAAGCUUAUUGCCUACACAGAAUAAAAGCAUAGACAAUUAACCUCAUUGCUUAUGCUAACUUAGCAUCAGUAGAUAUUUUAUGAAAUUAAAAAAUUAAUAAAAAAAUAAAACAAUUGCCAAUGCUAAGUUAGCAUCGACAAUGAGUUUAAUUGCCUAUGCUUAGAUUUUACAUAGGCAAUAAGCUUAAUUGC
rnacentral:lncRNA from 1 species